GAGUAAUUGUGAAGAGUCUGCAAUUCCAUGGGUGUCUCCAAGCGCCCAUGUUUCAUCAUUUCGACGGACGGUGGAGAUCGAACUAUCAUUUCACUACGAAACUGCAUUUUCUCUGUCUGAAGGAACGUACAGCUUCCACCAUUAUCAUUCUCAAAUAUAUUUGAUUCCUGAGGGUUAGAUUCAUUAGUAAUUUGCAAAUCAAUAUUUG
rnacentral:misc_RNA from 1 species